ensembl:lncRNA
UUUGUUAUUGUAAAUAAAAUACUCCCCUUCCUUUUCCUUCCUUCUCACCUGACGAACAAGGGAAAUACUACACUGGUGCCGAAACCCGGGAGUGGAAAGAGAAUGACGUCGCCACGAUGCAAACACCUUCAGGACCAUCGGGAUCGCCAUUUGCAGAGAUCAUCACAUCGCUCGUGGGUCUACAUCAAGAAAACCACCAAGACCUGCUGGACUUGCGGGCGGACCAGGACCAUCGGUUCCAAGCCCUGAUGCAAGCCCAGCAGGAGGACCACAAGCUGUUCCGGAGCUUGCUGGACCGGGAGGUUCAGACGAGGUCGGCUUCCCCCAGUUUCAUCCCCCCCACUCACAUGUCUCUCACCAAGAUGGGGCCCGCGGAUGACCCAGAGGCUUUCCUGGACUUGUUUGAGAGGAUGGCCGAGGCAUGUGAGUGGGCAUCGACCAGCUGGCCAGUGCGGUUGAUUCCGCUGCUGUUGGGGGAAGCCCAGAAGGCUGCCCAACAACUGCCCAUCCAAAACCUCCUAGUGUACGCAGACUUAAAAUGGGCAAUCCUCCAGAGGGUCGGCCUCAGUCCAGAACAGCACCAUCAAUGCUUCCGAUCAUUGGAAUUGACGGAAGCAGGCCGACCCUUUGUCUUGGCCCAGCAGCUCUGGGACUCGUGCCGCAAAUGGCUGUUGGCCGGAGGAAGCGAUGCCGAGGCCAUCCUCGACAAGGUGGUACUGGAGCAGUUCGUCUCCUGUCUGCCGAGGAGGAAGGCCCAGUGGGUCCAGUGCCACCAGCCGGCGUCGAUGGAUCUGGCCAUCCAACUGGCGGAGGACCAGUUGGUGGCAUGCUCCGGUGUCGGCCAACCCCUCCCAUCUAUCUCUCUCUCUCUCUCUCUCUCUCUCUCUCUCUUCCCUUGUUCCUCUUUCUUCCUCUUCCCCUAAUCCCGUUCCCAGGACCCGUUUUGCUGGCCCACCGAGGGCCGCCCCCCCGCUGGAGGAUGGGAACCGAGGCCCCGCCCGGGGAGUGGGGGCACCCCACCAGGAGGGGCUCAACGAGGCUCCUACCAUCUCCCCACGCCAAUUCCUUGACCCACUUCCUGCCACUAGGGCGGCGGGGAAGCCUGGGCCAGCCUGUUGGCUUUGCGGGGAUCUGGGCCAUUUUGUGGAUCGAUGCCCAGCCAUGGAGGUGGGGACAUUGGUCCGGAUCCCAGAUGACCUGCAGGCCGCCCCCAAUCAAGCCGGGUUAUACCAGAUACCUGUGAGUAUUAAGGGGGGUACUUAUCGGGUUUUGGUGGAUUCAGGUUGUAACCAGACCUCCAUCCAUCAAAGCCUGAUACAAUCCGGGACAUUGGCUACGGGCCGCAUGGUUAAGGUGAGGUGUGUGCACAGGGAUAUAGUGGAAUACCCCCUAAAAGCCAUAUCCAUCAAAUUUAGGGGUCAAAAGCAUUGUGUGGAGGUGGCGGUUAGCCCGCGCCACUGGCAUCCGCUAAUUUUGGGAACCAAUUAGCCGGCUUUUUAACAGUUCUUGGGAUUUUUAACAGCGGAUGUCUCUAGGAAAACGAGAUGGCAGGAAAGGGGGGCGAGCACUCAGGUUGGAGAGACUGUGCCGGGACCCAGUGGGACAGUUUCAGAGGAACCGAGCGGCUUGGCGAGGCUAAACCUCUCCAUUCGUGAUGACUUUCCCCUGGAACAAUCCCAAGACGAGACGCUCAAACAUGCAUUUGAACAGGUCCGUUCCAUCGAUGGGCAGAUCCUCCAACCUGACCGCACGCUCUCCUAUCCUUAUUUUGCCGUUAUUUAAAAACAGGUUGUAUCGAGUGACCCAAGAUGCUCAGACAAAGGAAGAUACAACCCAAUUCACCUCUCACCCUCGCAGCUCACUGACACCACACGUUUACAAAGUUUGCAGAUGUGUUUUUGCCCCUGCCUGGUCGUACUAAUCUGAUUCAGCACCAUAUUGAGACAGAGCCAGGCGUGGUGGUGCACGGACGGCCAUACAGAUUGCCUGAACCCAAAAAUGGUUCAGAUGGAAUUAGAGGCAAUGCUGGAGAUGGGAGUAAUCGAGGAGUCCCACAGUAACUGAUCGAGCCCGAUAGUUUUGGUUCCUAAAACGGACGGCUUGGUGCGGUUUUGGGUGGACUUUCGCAGGGUGAAUGCAGUGUCGAAGUUUGAUGCUUAUCCAAUGCCGCGGAUUGACGAGCUGCUCGAUGGGUUAGGUACAGCUCGUUUUUAUUCGACAUUGGACUUAACGAAAGUAUAUUGGCAGAUCCCCUUAUCUCCCAUGUCCAAAGAAAAAACGGCCUUCACCACGCCGUUUGGCUUACACCGAUUUGUGACGCUUCCUUUCAGGUUGUUCGGGGCCCCGGCCACGUUUCAGCGCCUCAUGGAUAGAGUUCUGCGGCCCCAUGCUGCCUAUUGGCAGCGGCAUCUGGAGCAUUUGAGGGCCGUCCUCGGAGCGCUGAGACAGGCGGGGCUAACGGCCAACCCAGAAGAAGUGCGCAGUUGGGCGGGUGGAGGUAAGGUAUCUAGGCUUCCACUUGGGUCAUGGGCAGGUGCAUCCCCAAAUUGACAAGACAGCAGCAAUUGCAACCUGUCCCAGGCCAAAGACCAAAAAGAAGGUGAGGCAGUUCCUGGGGCUGGCGGGAUUCUCACCAGCCCGCUGACUGACUUCACUAAAAAGGAGGUGCCAGAUAUGGUCCAGUGGACAGAGCAGUGCCAACAGGCUUUUACCCAGGUUAAGGCUGCCCUGUGUGGCGGGCCGCUCCUGCAUUCUCCUAACUUUUCUCUCCCUUUUCUGUUGCAGAUUGAUGCAUCAAACAGGGGGCUGGGCGCUGUCCUGUCCAAGGAGGUGGAGGGGGAGGACCACCCGAUGCUGUACAUUAGUCGUAAGCUCUCAAAAAGAGAGACUAAGUACAGCACCAUAGAGAAGGAGUGUUUGGCCAUCAGGUGGGCGGUACUCACCCUUCGCUAUUACCUCCUGGGGCGGGAGUUCACCCUCUGUUCAGACCACGCGCCCCUGCAGUGGCUCCACCACAUGAGGGAUGGCUCCCCAGCCUGAGUCGGGCAGUGGGGGUAUUUGGCGGGGGAGGCGUGGUUCAGCGAGGUCUGCGACGGGAGAGAGAACAGGGAGACGAGCGGCGGAUCCCUGCAAAUGUGCCGCUCCCUGUUCCCAGAUCGUCAGGAGCUCUGCCUCAAGGGGCCACAGGGUUCUACCUGCUAGUUAAUGGCAUUGCCACCUCCCUCAGCAAAGCGCAGAGACACACAGACUGAAGAAAGAAGCUUCUACAGGUUUAGAACAACUUGAGGCAUACAGAAGGCAGCAAGUCUGAGGUGCAAGUCCAUGGACUGCUAAUGAGACUAGAUCUACGGUUUGUGGUGUGCUAAACCUGGCUUCUUUAAUACUAUAUCAAAGGCCCAAUCAAAGGGAUAAUUUCCUCCAGCAGCCUGUCUCUGAGCAUCACUGCACCAACUAAUGGCUGAAAUACAAAGCAAUAUGGAUUAGCACUGUAUCUCAUUUUUGCAGUGUUGUCUAUACACUUGGGUCAUCUGGAAUGACUCAUUGCUCUCUAAUGGCAGUCUGUAUACAGAGCAGAUGAGCGGAGACGUUGUCCUUUAACUGCUAAGAUAAUGAAGUACUGUGGGAUCUGACUUCCGGGCCGGCCAGGGCAGAUUGGAGUAAGUCCGGCCCAGCGCAGGGAACUGCAGUGUGGGGCAGGGCGCCAUGGCAGGUGCCUGUGUCAGCAGUACUGCCGGCCAAGGGGAGAGGUCAAUCUCACACCUCCAGCAGGUGGGACACAGACUUGCAUUAAUGAUGCUUACAGUGAGAUAGCUGCAGUGUCAGGGGGAGAGGAGAGCAUCGAGCCAGGUGUCUCCUCCAGCUCUGAGAUUUACACAGGAACACAACAAAGGGUGGUCCCUUCUUCACUUUGGAAUGUCCAAGUAUCUAGUUCGGGGUGGGCAUUAGGCUAACUUCAUACCUCAUUUGAUGUGAGGUCUGUUGAUGUGAUCAAUUGCUUGAGUGAAGUCGCCAGAGUCUUUCAUCAGGCAUCUGCUCACAGAAGGAGGUGGACGUUUGACAGGAGAGGCGUGGAUGUGUCCAGCCAGUGGAACCUGGCGUCUGCUUGAAUGCCCGUCAACACUCCAGCAAAUCAGAUUUAAGAAGACUGCAACGGAGUGUUAGGGCAGCAGAAAGGAUCAUUGGUGUGCACCUGCCCAGUCUUCAGGACUUGAACAACUCCAGAAUGAAGAAACGGGCAGGUAACAUCAUCAAAGACCCCUCUCACCCUGGACACAACCUGUUUGCACUUCUCCCCUCAGGCAGACGCUACAGAUCUCUGUGCACUAGAACAUCUAGGCAUAAAAACAGUUUUUCCCCCAUGCCAUCUCCAGCUUAAACAGCUAACAUAUGAAUCAUUACCUGUGUUCUGUAAUUCAUUUCCGUAAAUUAUUCUACAUCUUAAAUGAUUUCCUUUCUUAAGUAUUAUGUAAAUACAUAUGCAUAUCUCUUUAUUUGUACAGUUCUACAGUAUAUAGAGUAAAAUUUCACAAAUCUGUACAUAAAUCAAUCUACUGUUCCA